GAAAGAAAAGGAAAGAAAGAAAAACAAAAGAAGCACAAACAAAUCCAUGGAGUCUGCUUAACGCUGGGAAACUAUUUCUGAACAAGCAGCCUGCCCUAGGGUGUGACUGAUGAGCUGUGAUGACAAGGGACAGAGGUGUCAAUCCUGGUCUUGCUUAGGAUGGAAAUGGAUAUUUGAUCUCAUUGCUAACCUGGAGACUGUGAAGUGGAAAAACCUGAUUCUUGGUGUGGUGUGGCUCAGCCCUAGCAUACACCUUUAAUAAAAGAGCCUGCUGUAAACAAGAGGUAAAUGAAGCCAACAGAAGUCAAGAGGCAGAACA